rnacentral:rRNA from 1 species
GAUUCCCCUAGUAACUGCGAGUGAAGCGGGAAAAGCUCAAAUUUGAAAUCUGGCGGUUUCUUAACUGUCCGAGUUGUAAUCUAGAGAAGUGUUACCUGUGCUGGACCAUGUACAAGUCUCCUGGAAUGGAGCAUCAUAGAGGGUGAGAAUCCCGUCUUUGACAUGGACUACCUGUACAUUAUGGUGUGCUCUCAAAGAGUCGAGUUGUUUGGGAAUGCAGCUCAAAAUGGGUGGUAAAUGCCAUCUAAAGCUAAAUAUUGGCGAGAGACCGAUAGCGAACAAGUACCGUGAGGGAAAGAUGAAAAGAACUUUGGAAAGAGAGUUAAACAGUACGUGAAAUUGCUGAAAGGGAAACGCUUGAAGUCAGUCACGUUGGCUAGAGAUCAGCUUUGCUUUUGCUUUGUGUACUAUCUGGUUGACGGGUCAGCAUCAAUUUUGACCAUUGGAUAAAGUCUUUGGGAAUGUGGCAUCUUUGGAUGUGUUAUAGCUCAUUGUCGCAUACAGUGGUUGGGAUUGAGGAACUCAGCACGCCGCAAGGCCAGGUUUCGACCAUGUUCGUGCUUAGGAUGCUGGCAUAAUGGCUUUAAUCGACCCGUCUUGAAACACGGACCAAGGAGUCUAACAUGCCUGCGAGUGUUUGGGUGGAAAACCCAUGCGCGUAAUGAAAGUGAAAGUUGAGAUCCCUGCAAGGGGAGCAUUGACGCCCGGACCAGACCUUUUGUGACGGAUCCGCGGUAGAGCAUGUAUGUUG